AGUGAACGCUGGCGGUAGGCCUAACACAUGCAAGUCGAACGGCAGCACAGUAAGAGCUUGCUCUUACGGGUGGCGAGUGGCGGACGGGUGAGGAAUACAUCGGAAUCUACUUUUUCGCGGGGGAUAACGUAGGGAAACUUACGCUAAUACCGCAUACGACCUACGGGUGAAAGCAGGGGAUCUUCGGACCUUGCGCGAUUGAAUGAGCCGAUGUCGGAUUAGCUAGUUGGCGGGGUAAAGGCCCACCAAGGCGACGAUCCGUAGCUGGUCUGAGAGGAUGAUCAGCCACACUGGAAAUGAGACACGGUCAAGACGCCUACGGGAGGCAGCAGUGGGGAAUAUUGGACAAUGGGCGCAAGCCUGAUCCAGCCAUACCGCGUGGGUGAAGAAGGCCUUAGGGUUGUAAAGACCUUUUGUUGGGAAAGAAAAGCAGCAGGUUAAUACCCCGCUGUUCUGACGGUACCCAAAGAAUAAGCACCGGCUAACUUCGUG
rnacentral:rRNA from 1 species